GACGAACGCUGGCGGCGUGCUUAACACAUGCAAGUCGAACGGAAAGGCCCUGCUUUUGUGGGGUGCUCGAGUGGCGAACGGGUGAGUAACACGUGAGUAACCUGCCCUUGACUUUGGGAUAACUUCAGGAAACUGGGUCUAAUACCGGAUAGGAGCUCCUGCUGCAUGGUGGGGGUUGGAAAGUUUCGGCGGUUGGGGAUGGACUCGCGGCUUAUCAGCUUGUUGGUGGGGUAGUGGCUUACCAAGGCUUUGACGGGUAGCCGGCCUGAGAGGGUGACCGACCACAUUGGGACUGAGAUACGGCCCAGACUCCUACGGGAGGCAGCAGUGGGGAAUAUUGCACAAUGGGCGGAAGCCUGAUGCAGCAACGCCGCGUGCGGGAUGACGGCCUUCGGGUUGUAAACCGCUUUCGCCUGUGACGAAGCGUGAGUGACGGUAAUGGGUAAAGAAGCACCGGCUAACUACGUG
rnacentral:rRNA from 1 species